GAUGAACGCUGGCGGCGUGCCUAAUACAUGCAAGUCGAGCGAACAGACGAGGAGCUUGCUCCUCUGACGUUAGCGGCGGACGGGUGAGUAACACGUGGAUCACCUACCUCUAAGACUGGGAUAACUUCGGGAAACCGGAGCUAAUACCGGAUAAUAUAUUGAACCGCAUGGUUCAAUAGUGAAAGACGGUUUUGCUGUUACUUAUAGAUGGAUCCGCGCCGCAUUAGCUAGUUGGUAAGGUAACGGCUUACCAAGGCGACGAUGCGUAGCCGACCUGAGAGGGUGAUCGGCCACACUGGAACUGAGACACGGUCCAGACUCCUACGGGAGGCAGCAGUAGGGAAUCUUGCGCAAUGGGCGAAAGCCUGACGGAGCAACGCCGCGUGAGUGAUGAAGGUCUUCGGGUCUUAAAGCUCUGUUAUUAGGGAAGAACAAAUGUGUAAUUAACUAUGCACGUCUUGACGGUACCUAAUCAGAAAGCCACGGCUAACUACGUG
rnacentral:rRNA from 1 species